CUCUAAACGGUUCCCUUUUCAUAGACUUUACCGUAUACAUAUAUUAUACAUAUACUCAUUUGUAUUCAUUCUUAUUAUUUCUCUCUUGUUAUCUCCAUUUUAUUCACGCAUUCCAAAUAUUCGUGCUUCUUACGAUGUCGAUGAGAAAGUAGAACGAGAUUAAAGUAAUUAUGUACCUCGUUUAGAUUCUAAUUUAUCGAUGUUGUCAUUUAUAAAUAUUUCAAACUUUUCCAAAUGCAUCAAACACACAUACACAUACACGCACGCGCACGCGCACUCACACGCAUAUACUAUACAUACAGACCACAAUAAAUGAUUGUGCCGCAUGUGUUUUGUAAACUCUCGCCCCCUCCUCCCACCUCCCGCCCCAAGACACGAGUUUUUUGAGAAAACAGUUUUACAGUUACACGUGUCUUGUUAGCGAAUACAAAGUUUCUUUUGGUCGUUCAGUGAUUUUUAUAAUUCUCUCCUGUAAAUAUCCUUAGACGUAAGGAUCGUACAUAUCCUUAGCAAGCGGUUACGCGAAAUUAAUAGUAAUUUUCUUUUCUUUAGUAUUGUGUGUUGCCUUUAUUACAUAAAAUUACGUUAUCCUUUUUAAUAUUCGAAAACGUUGCCGCCGUAUGCACGAGAUUAUGCGAGACCUUAUUUUCUAUAACACAGGCGACACGACCAGACAGAAAAUAGUCUUUCCGUGUUCUAACGACGAAUGUUCGAACCAUCGCUUACAUCUAUCUUUCUUUUUAUGAUCCCAUGGCAAUGAAAUUGCACAUUAACGCACUAAUCACUUUCCUCGGUUGAUUCAAAGAUUUGACGAAAGCUAGCUUGAACGAUGCCCUUUUGCGUUGGCUAACGUUCGAAACUCAAUUUAACCACCACCUACUAUUUGAUCUCAUCGAAAAAAUUCGUCCUUUUGCACUGGCAUUGGUAUACUAUACUUCAUACUAUUACAGAUACAUAUUUGUACAUAGUUUCUCCAACCAAUGAAUUCAUCUCUUUCAUAGAAAUCUGUUCCUCUUAAUAAAAGAGGGAAGAAAGAUGAAUGUUGUUGGUUAAUUUCUGACAUUAUUAAGAAAGGAAAUUGACAACGAUGUCGAUAAAAUAGAAGAAAGAAAGAAAAAGUAGUGGGAAAAAGAAAAUUAAAUACCAACAGGAAGUGAAAAUACACAACAUAUGUCG